UGUGCUUUCUUUCAGUCAAAUGUUGCAAGUUUUUUUGUAAAGAUAGUUGUCAACUCUGUUCUUGUUCUGCCUUUUUGUUUGUAAUCAUUUAUUUAGCAUUGUUAGGGAAAGCUGAUUAAAUUGGACGAAAUAAAGAGAUUCGUAAAAAUUAAAUGUACAGAUUUUGGAAGGACAAGUAUCCUUGGAGAUUAUUGAAAUGUUUUUCCUAUAAUGUAUUGUAUUUUGUAGGAAAGAUGCUCUGAUAUUCGAGAAUCAAUACAUCGCUUUGCAAUUGCUGGGGGGUAGAAUAGUUUUUCUGGCUUCUUUUAUAUUUAAUUGCUUUAAG
rnacentral:misc_RNA from 1 species